CUACGGGUCGCUCCAGUGGGGAAUAUUGGACAAUGGGGGAAACCCUGAUCCAGCGAUGCCGCGUGUGUGAAGAAGGCCUGCGGGUUGUAAAGCACUUUCGGUUGGGAGGACUGCUUCUAGCACUAAUAUUGUUGGAAGUUGACGUUACCUUCAGAAGAAGCACCGGCUAACUCCGUGCCAGCAGCCGCGGUGAAUACGGAGGGUGCAAGCGUUAAUCGGAAUUACUGGGCGUAAAGCGCGCGUAGGCGGCUAGAUCAGUCGGGUGUGAAAGCCCCGGGCUUAACCUGGGAACUGCAUCCGAUACUGUCUAGCUUGAGUACAGGAGAGGAGAGUGGAAUUCCACAUGUAGCGGUGAAAUGCGUAGAUAUGUGGAGGAACACCAAUGGCGAAGGCAGCUCUCUGGCCUGAUACUGACGCUGAGGUGCGAAAGCGUGGGGAGCAAACAGGAUUAGAUACCCCGGUAGUC
rnacentral:rRNA from 1 species